UUGGGAAGCCUGAAUAUUGAAGUAUUCUAGCAACAGGAAAGGUAAAGCACGAGUAAAGAAAAAGCAACCUUCUUCUACAUUGACCCCCUGGAGUGCUUUAACUGUGACCUCAAGGAGCCAUAUCUAGAUAGGAGAGGGAGUUCAGUUUCCAAAGCCCAUUCAAUCGUGAGCUCCU
ensembl:misc_RNA